UUAUGUUUCGCCAACAUCUGAGCCAAUCAGUUGUAGAUGUCAGAGCCCAUGGAACACUGUUUACGUGCGAAACACAUUUGUACAAAUAUUUAGUCAUUGAAACAAUUAAAAAACACCAACCAGAGAACAUAGCUACAUUAUGCGGACAAAAACAGCAUUCGAGGAAGUUAAUAUUAAUUGUUGGGCUAAUGACCCAAUGGCAUACUGACGUGAAGCGUAAGCGAGGUGUACAUCGCAUUUCUUCAAACAACGUUCUGGAAAGUUGUCUCGACCUGAAAAGCAUUGCCGUGAAACAUUAACAAGAACACUAAUCGGAAAAUAAUUCGGAUACAUUGUGCGUAUGAUAGCGCCGGUGGAUGAUAAACAAGAACAAUAUUUUAUAAAGAUAAUGGAUAUUACUAAACACAUCUACUGAAAUGUCUUGGUGUUUAACAGGUAUCCAAUGAAGACGCAAAUAUAUUGGGUAGCAAUGUUUCUACUGCCAAACAAAUAAUAGCAAUAAAAUCAAAAUACACAACCUAUAAGCCUUGUUAGAGAAUAUAUAGAAAUAUAACAGUUAUCCGUUUUAAGGUAGUUCUGCACGUUUGAAAAACCGGAAGUGAUGGCUUAACAUUAUUUAUUAGGAAAACGUAGAAUAAAGCCUGGAUUCGGUCCACGGAAAUGAAAAUCAAUUUAGGAAUUCAUUGAAACCUGUGAGUAAAUUUAUUACAAUGGCACUGUUGCUAUAUUUCUGAAGUCAAAAUAUGGAAGUAAAACAUACGGCACGUUCAAAAUUCAAAAUAAGGUGUUAAAAUUAGCGUGAAAUGUUCGGUUCACUUUAAUCAUGGUCAAAUAUCUCAAAAAGUAAGCACAUGGACCUAUACAUUUUAUUUCAUCAAAUUAUAGUCCAUGUGUUAAUUAACAACCAUGAGAAGUUUCAUCAAAAUCUACACUGUAGAAACAAUUCUAUUCGCGAAAAUGUUAUGAAAGUUUUGAUUUUCCCAUAGACUGCCAUUAUGAAAUAUUGCAUGAGGUCUAAAGUUUUCAAAGCAGUCUGGAAAAAAUCAAGCACACGACCCUAUCUUUUUUAUUUGCUGAAUUUUCUAGGUAUAUUGUGAAGUUUUGAAAAAUCAGAGUUUAGUCAAAUUCUACAUUGUAGAAAAACAAUCAAUCCAAACGUGCAGCACUACCUUAAUACAAAAUUCCCUGCUUCAUUGAGAGAGUCGUUCGUAUGUAGAUACCAUUCAAAGUAGAUCUUGAGUAUAAUAUUACAUCUCAUUAGAGUCAGGUGCUUCCGAUACCUUUUUUACCGUAUGGAACGGAGGAUAUCGUUGAAGAAUGACGAGUAAUUCGGAGUUGAUUUCCAGUAGCAACAAUAAUAUAAGCUAUUGUCAUGAAACUCACUAUAAUGACUAUGACAUUUCUGAAGUAUCCCAUUAUUUCAACGUAACAGAAAUGGUGUUUUCACUAAGUGGAGUUAUAUUAAACAUUUCCAUGAUUGUUGUUAGUAUUACUUUUACUGAAAGGAUCCUUGAAAACGCAUCUCAAAUUUGUCUUGAGCCUUGCAACAUCAGACCUUCUAAUAGCUUUGUUGCAGUUUGUGUCGCUAUUUUAUCAUUUUCCAAUGGUUUUGAAGGACUAUGCAAAUCAGACAAAACCAUCCUUUAUUAGCAAGACGUUUCUUUGUUUAUUUGUAAUGGCUCAGUAUGCUGGGCUGGGGACAAUGUUGGCUAUUUCAGUAGAUAUACUUAUAAAGAUACGGAAGCCUUUACGAUACAAAAUUCUAAUGUCAAAAAGGCGUGGAAACAUCAUUAUAAUAUGUUUGUGGUUGGUGUCACCUGCAAUUUUCAUAUGCAUAUCAUUCUUUGUGCUGGCCUCCACGUUUGACUGUCCGGAAGAUGCCUCAGUUUUACUUGUCGAAGCAAGCAGUUUGUUUUUCUUGCUUUGCGGUUUAUUUUUUAUAGUAUUUUUUAUUUUAUACAUAAUAAUAAUUGCUCAAUCAGAAACGUUACGAACAGAUAUUCAUCCAGACGGAGGACAAGCAUUAAGAAAGCAGCUGUCACAUUUCUGUUCGUAAUUUUAACCUAUUUUAUAUGUCUUAUGCCUGCUAUAUGGCUUCUUUUACCGGUUCUACUCUCUCAUGUUUCUUAUUCGUAUUUACCUGUAAGGUUAGUGGCUUCUUUAUAUAUUGUAAAUACUAUUUGUGAUCCUAUUAUAUACACAUUAAGAAUACUCGAAAUAAAAGAAAAAUACUGGACAAUAUACAGGAAAAUGUGCCAUAGAGGGCACAGUAAAUCUACUGUGUUUAAUCUAACUUUAUAUGCGUGCAAUUUGUUGCAGGAAAAACAUGUAGGUGAUAUCAGCAAGUGAUUUAGAUUAACGCAUCAUUGGCUCAAAUUGCUAGUGAAGUACUAUUUCGUAUCUGUAGCAUACCGAGCAACACUGGAUCAAUACGGGAGGAGAAAAGUCCAACAGGAAAAAAGACACAUUUUAUAUUGUUGUAUGUAACUGUUAUAUUUACAGGCAUUCGUUGUCUAUGUCAAAUCAAUAUGAUUGUAAUAAUUCAAAAUGGACCAAAGUCCAGUGUAGUAUCUAAAUCAUGCAAUAUUAGUUUUUUUUAUUUCACUUGCUUUACUGUCAAAAGCAAGUCAUUAAAUGAAAAACGUAAUGUUUUAAAAGGUUAUAUUAUAUCAUUUUAUAUAACUGUUGCAUUAAUGUAUUGUUUCUCCCCUAAUGAUAUACAAUAAAGAUCUAAAAUGGA